AUUGAACGCUGGCGGCAGGCCUAACACAUGCAAGUCGAACGAGUGGCGGACGGGUGAGUAAUGUCUGGGAAACUGCCCGAUGGAGGGGGUUAACUACUGAAAACGGUAGCUAAUCCCGCAUACCAUCGGAUGUACCCGGAUGGGAUUAGCUAGUAGGUGGGGUAACGGCUCACCUAGGCGACGAUCCCUAGCUGGUCUGAGCGGAUGACCAGCCACACUGGAACUGAGACACGGUCCAUACUCCUACGGGAGGCAGCAGUGGGGAAUAUUGCACAAUGGGCGCAAGCCUGAUGCAGCCAUGCCGCGUGUAUGAAGAAGGCCUUCGGGUGGUAAAGUACUUUCAGCGAGGAGGCGUUACUCGCAGAAGAAGCACCGGCUAACUCCGUGCCAGCAGCCGCGGUAAUUC
rnacentral:rRNA from 1 species